AUUGCUUCUAGGCCUUUUGGCUAAGAUCAAGUGUGAAGUUGCCUUUUAUUUUGUUGACACUGGAUUUAAUUCAAAUUAAUGAAGAAAAUAUUUUGCAUAAUACGUAUAGCAGUAAUUCAUUGCUUACUACAAGCUAGGCACUGUGCUAUUGCUUCACAUACAAUGUCUAACUUAAC
rnacentral:snRNA from 1 species